rnacentral:rRNA from 1 species
GCAGUCGAACGAUGAUGCCCAGCUUGCUGGAUGGAUUAGUGGCGAACGGGUGAGUAACACGUGAGUAACCUGCCCCUGACUCUGGGAUAAGCGUUGGCAACGACGUCUAAUACUGGAUAUGACUGCCGGCCGCAUGGUCUGGUGGUGGAAAGAUUUUUUGGUUGGGGAUGGACUCGCGGCCUAUCAGCUUGUUGGUGAGGUAAUGGCUCACCAAGGCGACGACGGGUAGCCGGCCUGAGAGGGUGACCGGCCACACUGCGACUGAGCCAGGAUCCUCUUUAUACGGGAGGCAGCAGUGGGGAAUAUUGCACAAUGGGCGAAAGCCUGAUGCAGCAACGCCGCGUGAGGGAUGACGGCCUUCGGGUUGUAAACCUCUUUUAGUAGGGAAGAAGCGAAAGUGACGGUACCUGCAGAAAAAGCACCGGCUAACUACGUGCCAGCAGCCGCGGUAAUACGUAGGGUGCAAGCGUUGUCCGGAAUUAUUGGGCGUAAAGAGCUCGUAGGCGGUUUGUCGCGUCUGCUGUGAAAUCCCGAGGCUCAACCUCGGGCUUGCAGUGGGUACGGGCAGACUAGAGUGCGGUAGGGGAGAUUGGAAUUCCUGGUGUAGCGGUGGAAUGCGCAGAUAUCAGGAGGAACACCGAUGGCGAAGGCAGAUCUCUGGGCCGUAACUGACGCUGAGGAGCGAAAGCGUGGGGAGCGAACAGGAUUAGAUACCCUGGUAGUCCACGCCGUAAACGUUGGGCGCUAGAUGUAGGGACCUUUCCACGGUUUCUGUGUCGUAGCUAACGCAUUAAGCGCCCCGCCUGGGGAGUACGGCCGCAAGGCUAAAACUCAAAGGAAUUGACGGGGGCCCGCACAAGCGGCGGAGCAUGCGGAUUAAUUCGAUGCAACGCGAAGAACCUUACCAAGGCUUGACAUACACCGGGAACGGCCAGAGAUGGUCCGCCCCCCUUGGGGUCGGUGUAACAGGUGGUGCAUGGUUGUCGUCAGCCUCGUGUCGUGAGAU